GUAGAGGGGAAAAUUGGGCAUGCUGGCGAAGAAGAUUAACAAGUUUGUUUGUUUGAUCAUCGGCGUGAGCGAGUGCUCGUUUGUUGCUUGUGGAAUGCGCCGGCCUUAAGCUUUGGCGUAUGUUUCAAGGAGUUGGGCUGGAGUAUAUUCAGGCUGCUGGGAACAAGAAUGCUUAUUGGCUCCAUUGCUAUUAGGAGGAGAAUCUCAACCUGGCCUCCUUUGUCUGAGAGAACAAAGCAAACAGAAAAUGAGAUCGUCAAAAUGUUCCAUGUUCCUAGCCCAAAAGAAGAAAGCCAAAAUAUUCCCAUGAAAAGAGGAAGGGUAUCGUGGAAGGACCCUUCUACGCGAAUGUUGGACGAUAGAUUCAUUCGGAUUUUGAAAAUAUUUAAAUGGGGUCCCGAUGCAGAGAAGGCAUUGGAAGUGCUCAAGCUGAAGGUGGAUGCACGCCUGGUUCGUGAGGUUCUAAAGAUAGAUGUUGAGGUUCAUGUUAAGAUCCAAUUCUUUAAGUGGGCUGGGAAGAGAAGGAAUUUUCAACAUGAUGCAAUGACAUACAUGUCUUUGAUCCAUUGUUUGAAUGAAGCUGGGCUGGUUGGUGAAUUAUGGAAGACAAUACAAGACAUGGUUAGGAGUACUUGUGUACUCAGUCCUGCUGAGUUAUCUGAGAUUGUGAAAAUUUUGGGCAGGGCUAAGAUGGUCAACAAAGCAUUGUCUAUCUUCUAUCAGGUUAAAGGCCGCAAGUGCAGGCCUAAUGCAGCUACUUACAACUCUGUCAUCUUGAUGCUGAUGCAAGAGGGCCAUUAUGAAAAAGUCCAUGAGCUGUAUCACGAGAUGUGUAGUGAAGGUAAUUGUUUGCCUGACACAUUUACAUAUAGUGCACUCAUAUCAGCCUUUGCAAAGCUAAAUCGAGACGACUCAGCCAUUAGAUUAUUUGAAGAGAUGAAGGAGAAUGGAUUACGGCCCAUACCAAAAAUUUAUACAACAUUAAUGGGAAUAUAUUUCAAGUUGGGCAAGGUUGAAGAAGCUCUGGGCAUAGUCCAGGAAAUGAGAGUGCAGCGAUGUCCCCCAACUGUCUUUACUUAUACAGAGUUGAUAAGGGGAUUGGGGAAAGUCGGGAGGGUUGAAGAUGCGUACAGGAUAUACAAAAAUAUGCUGAAAGAUGGUUGUAAACCUGACGUUAUUCUGAUGAAUAAUUUGAUUAAUAUUCUGGGCAGAUCAGGUCAUUUGGAAGAUGCUAUCAAGCUUUUUAAUGAAAUGGAAUUGCUUCAUUGCACACCAAAUGUUGUAACAUAUAAUACAAUAAUCAAAUCUUUAUUUGAUGCCAAAGCUCCACCUUCUGAGGCUUCUUCAUGGUUUGAGAGGAUGAAAAAAGAUGGAGUUGUCCCCAGUUCAUUUACUUAUUCAAUUCUCAUUGAUGGUUUCUGCAAAACAAAUCGAGUUGAGCAGGCUCUGCUGCUCCUUGAGGAAAUGGAUGAAAAAGGCUUUCCACCUUGUCCUGCUGCCUACUGCAGCUUGAUCAACAGCCUUGGAAGAGCAAAACGCUAUGAAGCUGCCAAGGAACUAUUCCAGGAAUUGAAAGAGAACUGUGGACGCUCAAGUGCUCGUGUGUAUGCUGUAAUGAUAAAGCAUUUUGGAAAAUGUGGACGUUUGAAUGAAGCUAUAGAUCUUUUCAGUGAGAUGAAAAAGCUUGGAUGUACCCCUGAUGUGUAUGCUUAUAAUGCACUCAUGUCAGGGUUGGUGAGGGCUAACAUGGUAGAUGAAGCUUAUUCCUUGCUUAGAACCAUGGAAGAAAGUGGUUGCACCCCAGACAUAAAUUCUCAUAAUAUUAUUCUAAACGGCUUAGCUAGAACAGGUGGCCCAAAGCGUGCUAUGGAAAUGUUCACAAAAAUGAAUCAUUCUAAUAUUAAGCCAGAUGCGGUUUCUUACAACACUGUUCUCAGUUGUCUUAGCCGAGCAGGCAUGUUUGAACAGGCUGCAAGGCUGAUGAAAGAAAUGAGUGCAAAGGGAUAUCAGUAUGAUCUCAUUACUUACUCUUCUAUACUUGAGGCAGUAGGCAAGGUAGAUGGAGAUUGUAAUGUGGCAGAAUCAUGAAAACAAUUUGGAACUGAAUCUAAUGAGUUAUGCACAGUGAGGCGGCUAAGACAAGUUGUUGUUUGCUACCGCUACAACUUGUCUGCAGUUUUAGCGAAGUACUUUUGAUGUAGCCAAGGGCAUAUUCAUUCCACCAAGGCAUCAACAUAAGGGAGGACUUGCAUAUUGAUUGAAGAGUACAAAAAUUUUGAAGUUGAACCGGCAUUAGAGACUCAGCUUAGAGAAUCGACUGGGGAAUUUGAUUUCACGCUGCCAGAUUUUUUAUAUGGUAACUGUUUACAUUUCUAACAGUUAACCCUCCAACCUCUGUGAAUCUAUUCUUAUUCCACGUCGAGGCAUGGAGUGGUCAUCUGACUAAGGGGGACUUGACUCUGGAUCAUUGUUUUUAAUGUUGAAGUUGUUGUAAAUUCUAAAAGAGAAAAGAAAAAAGUUCGAGUGGUAGAAAAUGAGGAAGUAUAAAGGAAGUGAGUUUCAUAGGUACAUUCUUUGUCAUUUUUUCUUUGAAUUGUAUAAUUAACAAUCAAGGAUUCUGAAAGAUCUUCAUUAUAGAGAUUUUGGCAAUGAAGGAGAAAGUGGUGAUUAA